GCUGUCCUGAUACUGCCUGGGAGUGCCUCCUGUGUGAGUCCUAAAAAACUCAUCUCCUUACCAAGCUGGGCUUGUCCCAGGCAUUCUUUGGCCCCUCAGCUCCCUCACAGCUUGAGGGUAUGUUACAGCCCCACGUUUUUCUUGUAACACAUAGCCUGUGCCCUCCUUUCCCUCCAGCCUCCCCUGGGGAGUGAGCUUUGAGCUGACCCUUGCCUGGGUGGCUUUUCUCUAAGCAUCAGGAAUGUCCUGAGCAUCCUGCCCAACGGUCACAGGCUUGACAGACCUCCGGACAUUUGGCCAGGACUUCAAUUUUCAGAUUUAAUUUCAAACCAAAUCACUCCCAUCACUAUUGUAUUCUAGUGUUGUAUGAACACUCUGAAGAAAGGAUGUCUGCACACACUCUGAUUUUGUACCUGGGGAAACAGGCUCAGGCCAAGUCCAUGCCUUCCUCAUGGUCACUGCGUUGGAAGGAGGACCGCCUGCUUCCCACCUGUCUUCACACGUGUGUGCUUCUUCUCCGACUGCGGAGCCCGUGGCAGAGCGGACUCUUCUGGGCUCACACCGCCAGCACGGCAGGCCCCCUGCACCAGGACCUGAGAACAGCUGUGUUUUGGACCAGGGACACCUUCUGAGCAGCACACUUGGGCAGUUGCAUCUCUGUGAAUUAGCGGGACACAUGCACACACGGGCAGUGAUCCAUCCGGCUCCCAGAGACUCUCGGCCGCCUCCAUCCAUCUCCCUGACGGGUACCCGGUAG
rnacentral:lncRNA from 1 species